GAGGGCUCACUAAAGCUAAGAUGAUGCGAAAAAAAAUCUCCAAUAAAGCUAUUUAUAUAUUAAUAUCCAUUUUAAUUUUUACAAACAUUCUGUGCAUUAUCACAGAUAGGGCCUAUGCGCUAAACAAACCCACUGUCACACUGUCACAGGCCCACUCUCACACUGUCUGUCACAGACCCACUCUCACACUGUCACACGCCCACUCUCACACUGUCUGUCACAGACCCACUCUCACACUGUCACACGCCCACUCUCACACUGUCUGUCACAGACCCACUCUCACACUGUCACAGCCCCACUCUCACCCUGUCACAGACCUAUUCUCACACUGUCACAG